GACGAACGCUGGCGGCGUGCUUAACACAUGCAAGUCGAACGGAAAGGCCCUGCUUUUGUGGGGUGCUCGAGUGGCGAACGGGUGAGUAACACGUGAGUAACCUGCCCUUGACUUUGGGAUAACUUCAGGAAACUGGGGCUAAUACCGGAUAGGAGCUCCUGCUGCAUGGUGGGGGUUGGAAAGUUUCGGCGGUUGGGGAUGGACUCGCGGCUUAUCAGCUUGUUGGUGGGGUAGUGGCUUACCAAGGCUUUGACGGGUAGCCGGCCUGAGAGGGUGACCGGCCACAUUGGGACUGAGAUACGGCCCAGACUCCUACGGGAGGCAACAGUGGGGAAUAUUGCACAAUGGGCGGAAGCCUGAUGCAGCAACGCCGCGUGCGGGAUGACGGCCUUCGGGUUGUAAACCGCUUUCGCCUGUGACGAAGCGUGAGUGACGGUAAUGGGUAAAGAAGCACCGGCUAACUACGUGCCAGCAGCCGCGGUGAUACGUAGGGUGCGAGCGUUGUCCGGAUUUAUUGGGCGUAAAGGGCUCGUAGGUGGUUGAUCGCGUCGGAAGUGUAAUCUUGGGGCUUAACCCUGAGCGUGCUUUCGAUACGGGUUGACUUGAGGAAGGUAGGGGAGAAUGGAAUUCCUGGUGGAGCGGUGGAAUGCGCAGAUAUCAGGAGGAACACCAGUGGCGAAGGCGGUUCUCUGGGCCUUUCCUGACGCUGAGGAGCGAAAGCGUGGGGAGCGAACAGGCUUAGAUACCCUGGUAGUCCACGCUGUAAACGGUGGGUACUAGGUGUGGGGUCCAUUCCACGGGUUCCGUGCCGUAGCUAACGCUUUAAGUACCCCGCCUGGGGAGUACGGCCGCAAGGCUAAAACUCAAAGGAAUUGACGGGGCCCCGCACAAGCGGCGGAGCAUGCGGAUUAAUUCGAUGCAACGCGUAGAACCUUACCUGGGUUUGACAUGGAUCGGGAGUGCUCAGAGAUGGGUGUGCCUCUUUUGGGGUCGGUUCACAGGUGGUGCAUGCCUGUCGUCAGCUCGUGUCGUGAGAUGUUGGGUUAAGUCCCGCAACGAGCGCAACCCUUGUUCACUGUUGCCAGCACGUUAUGGUGGGGACUCAGUGGAGACCGCCGGGGUCAACUCGGAGGAAGGUGGGGAUGACGUCAAGUCCUCAUGCCCCUUAUGUCCAGGGCUUCACGCAUGCUACAAUGGCUGGUACAGAGAGUGGCGAGCCUGUGAGGGUGAGCGAAUCUCGGAAAGCCGGUCUCAGUUCGGAUUGGGGUCUGCAACUCGACCUCAUGAAGUCGGAGUCGCUAGUAAUCGCAGAUCAGCAACGCUGCGGUGAAUACGUUCCCGGG
rnacentral:rRNA from 1 species